CAAUAGCGUAUAUUAAAGCUGUUGCGGUUAAAAAGCUCGUAGUUGGAUUUCUGUCAAGGACAACUGGUCCGCCCCUCGGGUGAGCACAUAGUUUGGUCUUGGCAUCUUGUUGGAAACUGUUGCUGCACUUGGUUGUGUGGCGCAGUGUCCAGCACUUUCACUUUGAGGAAAUUGGAGUGUUUCAAGCAGGCACAUGCCUUUGGACACAGUAGCAUGGAAUAAUUAGAUUGGGCUUUUGCUCCAACUUGUCGGUUUCUGGAGCUGAGGUGGGAAUUAAUGGGGAUUGUUGGGGGCAUCCGAAUUUAGCCGUCAGAGGUGAAAUUCUUGGAUCUGCUAAAGACGGACAACUGCGAAAGCGUUUGCCCAGGAUGUUUUCAUUGA
rnacentral:rRNA from 1 species